GACAGCUGUGAAACAAGGAUGUCACAUUCCACCAAGUGGCUAUUCCACCAAAUGGAAUAGCCAGUCAGACAUUCACCAGAGUGCUGUAAUAGGAUCCCAAAGUUGUUUGUAAGCCAGAAGGAUACCAGUGUGAUUCUGCAAGAGGGCAAGAUCAGCUGUGGGCACAAUUUAGAAAUGGCAUUGGAGUGGUAGGAGUUGAGAAAGGUUGUACUCCUUUGUCCUGUAAUCUAUGAUGUGACAUAUGGAAUGCCAAGAAUAGACUGUCUGCAGUCCACUUUGUAAAUCUGGUUCAUAGGCACAAAUUUUCUCUGAGUUGGGAAGGAAUCUUGGAAAGGAUCACUUCUACAGUUCCAUCAUUGAAUUCAUCAUCAUUGUCCCAGAGAAGCAGCGAUCAGUGAGAUGUGGCUCAUGGGCUAGGCAUUGGCAAGUUUGCUUUUGGUAGAAGAUCGACUAGUGUGUGUGUGUGUUACGGUUACACUUUGUAAAUAAUUACAGAUAUGAUAAGUUUUAUAUAGAUUAUAAAAAUGAUCUAUUGUAUUCACAUUUUAUGAAGAAUAAAAAAGAUGUAUGAA